rnacentral:rRNA from 1 species
AAGACCUUGCGCUUUUGGAGCGGCCGAUGCCUGAUUAGCUUGUUGGUAAGGUAAAAGCUUACCAAGGCUUCGAUCAAUAGCUGGUCUGAGAGGACGGCCAACCACACUGGGACUGAGACACGGCCCAGACUCCUACGGGAGGCAGCAGUGGGGAAUUUUGGACAAUGGGGGCAACCCUGAUCCAGCCAUGCCGCGUGAGUGAAGAAGGCCUUCGGGUUGUAAAGCUCUUUCAGCCGGAACGAAACGGUUACGGUUAAUACCCGUGAUUACUGACGGUACCGGAAGAAGAAGCACCGGCUAACUACGUGCCAGCAGCCGCGGUAAUACGUAGGGUGCGAGCGUUAAUCGGAAUUACUGGGCGUAAAGCGUGCGCAGGUGGUUUUGUAAGUCAGAUGUGAAAGCCCCGGGCUCAACCUGGGAACU